GUGUCGCCGCUGCGGUAAUACCGGCAACCCGAGUGAUGGCCGAUCUUAUUGGGCCUAAAGCGUCCGUAGCUGGCCGCACAAGUCCAUCGGAAAAUCCACCCGCCCAACGGGUGGGCGUCCGGUGGAAACUGUGUGGCUUGGGACCGGAAGGCGCGACGGGUACGUCCGGGGUAGGAGUGAAAUCCUGUAAUCCUGGACGGACCGCCGAUGGCGAAAGCACGUCGCGAGGACGGAUCCGACAGUGAGGGACGAAAGCCAGGGUCUCGAACCGGAUUAGAUACCCCUGUAGUCC
rnacentral:rRNA from 1 species